AGCGAACGCUGGCGGCAGGCCUAACACAUGCAAGUCGAACGGAUCCUUCGGGAUUAGUGGCGGACGUGUGAGUAACACGUGGUAACGUGCCCUUUGGUUCGGAACAACUCAGGUUAACUUGAGCUAAUACCGGAUGUGCCCUUCGGGGGAAAGAUUUAUCGCCAUUGGAUCGGCCCGCGUCUGAUUAGCUAGUUGGUGAGGGAACCGCCCACCAAGGCGAGGAUCAGUAGCUGGUGUGAGAGGAUGAUCAGCCGCACUGGGACUGGGACCCGGCCCAGACUCCUACGGGCAGCAGCAGUGGGGAAUCUAGCGCAAUGGGCGAAAGCCUGACGCAGCCAUGCCGGGUGAAUGAUGAAGGUCUUAGGAUUGUAAAAUUCUUUCAGCGGGGACGGUAAUGACGGUACCCGCAGAAGAAGCUCCGGCUAACUUCGU
rnacentral:rRNA from 1 species